UAUCUCUCCGUACGGGGAAGGAUGAGAAGCUUCGACUAAGGUUCGAUUCGAGCGAAGCGAGAAAGCGUUGCCGCAGGCAACGACCCGAAGGGCGAAGCGCGCAGCGCUGAGUCAUCCUUCCCCCACCACCA
rnacentral:sRNA from 1 species